AAGAUGCUCUCAAUGGUGCAGCUGUUUAACUUUUUGAGGAUCCGAGGGCCCAUGUCAAAUCUUUUCAGCCUCCUGAGGGGGAAGAGGCGUUGUUUUGCCCUCUUGACAUCUGUGUUGGUGUAUGGGUACCGUGAUCAAUCCUUAGUGAUGUGGACACUGUGGAACUUUAAGCUCUCGACCUGCUCCACUACAGCUUGUCGACGUGAAUGAGGGCGUGCUCGGCCCUACGUUUUCUGUAGUCCAUGAUUAGCUCCUUUGUCUUGCUGACGUUGAGGGAGAGAAUCAUUAGCUGAAGCAGAAGAAACAGACUGUGGUCAAUAGCGCCAAGAAGGGGGUUCACACUGGACCUGACCCACCCUGUGGAGUACAGCAUCCUGGACUCUGCCAACUUCGGUUCUUUUCCCUAGUCACUGCUCUUUCCAACAUGAAACCUUUCUCAACGAGAGGGUAAAGGUCAAUGGCAAGACAGGAAAUCUGGCAAAUGUAGUCGAGAUCAACCUUCUGAAAAACAAGAUCCACGUCACAGAACCAGCUUUCCAAGAGGUACCUGAAGAAGAACAACCUCCGUGAUUGGUUGAGAGUCGUGUUGUCAGACAAGGAGACUUACGAGCUUAGAUACUUCCAGAUCAGCCAGGAAGAGGACAAUGACGAGUAGAGCCAAGCUCCGCCCACCUGCCCCAGCAUGCAGGACUGGAGACUGGCCAGUCCGUCACACUUGUCACUUGUUUGUGAGGGAAAGUCUUCUGUGAGAGACAUUUGUAUUUGUCAGUGGAUAGACUGUAAACUUCAGUGUGUCAUCAAGUCUCUAGUUUUGAUGGGAGAAUAAAUUAGA